GGUUUUUCCGUGCCAGGCUCCGUUUCAAAGAACGAACUUGAUCCGUAGAAAACAGAUGCGAUGGUGGCACGAUGCAGCUUUCGGUUUGUGAAGUCGCUUUAAGAACAUUAUGGACGGAAAAUGGAGGAUGGGGCGCCAGCUUGGAGAAAGUUGGUGGCACGAUGCAGCUUCCGGUAAGUUUAGUUUCGACGAGGGACGAUUUUCUAGAUUACAUAUUGGGUUUUAAAAAAAAAUUGUUUUG